GCCCCUGUAGCUUAAUUGGAUAGAGCACUGGCCUCCGAAGCCGGUGAUGCCAGUUCGAUUCUGGCCAAGGGUACAA
rnacentral:tRNA from 3 species